GUAGGGAAUCUUGCACAAUGGGCGAAAGCCUGAUGCAGCAACGCCGCGUGAAGGAUGAAGGCCUUCGGGUUGUAAACUUCUGUUCUUAGGGAAGAAGAAAGUGACGGUACCUAAGGAGAAAGCCCCGGCUAACUACGUGCCAGCAGCCGCGGUAAUACGUAGGGGGCAAGCGUUAUCCGGAAUUAUUGGGCGUAAAGGGAGCGUAGACGGCUCUGCAAGUCUGGAGUGAAAACCCGGGGCUCAACCCUGGGACUGCUUUGGAAACUGUGGAGCUUGAGUACCGGAGGGGUAAGCGGAAUUCCUAGUGUAGCGGUGAAAUGCGUAGAUAUUAGGAGGAACACCAGUGGCGAAGGCGGCUUACUGGACGGUAACUGACGUUGAGGCUCGAAAGCGUGGGGAGCAAACAGGAUUAGAUACCCUAGUAGUCC
rnacentral:rRNA from 1 species